CCUGCGACGCAAACGCGCCGCUUUAUCCGCCCCGAGCGCACCCGGGGCGCCGGUGGCCGUCCCAAACGGCCGCGGCCGCGUCUCGACGUUCUAAUGCAUACCAAGGCAUUGUCUUAGGGUGGGAAAACAACAUCAACCGAGGCCACAAAACAAACAAAAAGAACUCGAGCCCAGAACCUCAGGAUCCUUUCUGGUCGCAGUCCCAGGAAGCGUCUGGGGCAAAUCUGGCCGAGACGCACCCGGGCGACGCCACCGCCGGUGCCACCGCGCCCCAUAAAGCCAACGCCCACGGCACCCUCCGUGCCUCUCCUCCCCGGGCGGCUCCACGGUCCCCUCCGCGCUCGCGGAAAGUGGGGCGUGCGGUCGCCAGCCGGCUGCGCCGAGGUGGGGGGGUGGGGGGUCCCCCUAUCGCCCAGACUCGGUUUGCGUCCCCCCUUCAACCUUCGCUGCGGCCCCUGCCACUCUCCAUAACACCACUACAUUUCUCAGCACCGAAACUUCCCGCCAAGCAACACCCAGCCAAUUAACCCCAUCCUCUCCUCCAACGCAGAGUUCCACCCACGCACCCAGUCCCUCUCCCCGCGCUUCAGACACCUCUGUCAUCGGAACACCGAGUGAAGGGAAGCAGGCAAUCAGCAGAGGAACCUGGCUGAAUUAAUGGCGGCUCCCAGAAGCUCCUGCCCCUCUGACAGCUGUCGCUUGGGCAGCCGGGGAGACGAAUUGUCCUCCUUCCUGGUGCCAGAGGACGCAGGAAAUUAGCCAGGUUGCGAGUUGCAAAGCGGCCGCCGAGGCGCCGGGAACUGGACGCGCCCCACCUCCAGCGGGAGCGGCCGGGCCGGGCCGGGCCAGGGCCUCGCCUGGCUCGCCAUCGCCGGACAAAGCGCAGCCAAGCCCGGCUGGAAGGCAGAGCUCCGAAGCAGGCAGGACCGAGCGGAGCAAAAGAAUGCGGCUCUAUUCUCGCAAGGGAAAUUAUAAAAAAGUUCAUGUUCACGGUUCCCAUCCACAUGACCGACAGCGGCCAAUGGAAGGGCCGAACAACUCAUAAAGUUGUAUUGCAAAGUUGUAAAUUUUCAUAAACAACAACGGAUUUAUGACCCUUUCCCCAUCACUAAGAGGAGGCAGCUCUUACACCGGCGCCAUCUUACCACCGAGGCCGCCCCGACUGGGGGCCGCAGGUUUUACAAACCCAGUUGGGCCGGGUUUUAUUAAAAGAGCAAUAAGAAGCGGGCCCGACCUAGGCAGGAGGCCGCAGUCGAGGUCUCCGCCUGCCUGCCCAGCUCAGGCUAUCCUGCGCUGUCCCCAUCGGCCCUCGCCCCUACCCAGACCCUCCACCUUCCCCGCGCCCACCCGCACGCCCCCGCCAAGGCUCGGCAGCAGCCCAGGCUCGGCAGCAGCCCGGGGCUGCGGUCCCUGCCCCUUCCCACACCCCUCAGCUGCAGCGCUGUGCCCGGCGCCCUGGCUUUGCCUGAAUGCAGGGUGGGCGGGGGGCUGCGUCAGAGGCCCUGAAUCCCACCUCCUAGCUUGGGGCCCUGUUCAGGACUCGUGGAAAAUUCGGGAUCAUUGGCAGGGUAAUACCCCUAACCCAGCCCACCCCGCAGCCUUAGAGGAAAAGGUGGAUUUUGUAUUCGCUCAUGGAAUUUGUGGAGGUUUUUUUUAGGGAGGUUCAUAGACUAUAACAUAUCCAUUGAAGAUUCCGUUUUCAAGAGAUCUGGAAGAUGUCUGUGCACACACACACACAAAAUGAAGAUGAAAAUCUUUGGAGAAAUUCAUAUACAAUUAUGACACACAGAAAAGCACACACUCAAUUAUUGACACGGAAAUACACGCAACUAUUUACACACAGAAACACAUGCACUCAGUUAUGGACAUAGAAUCACAUAAAAUUAUUGACUCAUGUAGCAAUACACACAUACAUAAAAUACACAUACAAAAGAGGUACACACAUACCUAUGCAAAUCCACACCAAAAGGGACUUGACACACAUAUACACCAAUACAUAGACACUCAACACUUGGACCCCAAUUGUCCUUCCACUUUUGCUUCUCCAAAGCCCCUUUGGACAUACAGACUUAGCCAGGCUUUGCUCUCCAGUCAUGCUUACCUUUCUUUCCCAGGCCCCCCUGUAUAAAGCAGUCCACAUUUCUUUGUCACCAA